GGUGGUGUGGUUUAGUGGUACAGCGCUUGCCAGUAUGCUUGAGGCCCUGGAUUCUAUUUCCAGAACCACCA
rnacentral:tRNA from 1 species